rnacentral:antisense_RNA from 1 species
CAGCAAGUCAGGACUUACUUAGACCUACUGAACAGCUGGCAACAAGACUUUUAUAUUUGUUUUUCAGAAACCCCAAUUCCCACCAACUUCAGAUCUCCAUUCCUACAAACUUCACCUCUGCUGGUAUGUGGACAUCAGAGAAGGGGGAACUGGAAACUGAACUCUGACCACCAUUCUGUGUUCUAAAUGUCUUCCUGAGGGGCCUGGAGGAAGUUACACUCAUAAGCCAGAGCUAACAUUCUUUUCUGCUGACCCCAAAUUUUAAAAUAAAGCUUCUCUUCCUUAACCAA